rnacentral:rRNA from 1 species
CUCUCAGUUCGGAUUGUAGGCUGAAACUCGCCUACAUGAAGCUGGAGUUACUAGUAAUCGCAGAUCAGAAUGCUGCGGUGAAUGCGUUCCCGGGUCUUGUACACACCGCCCGUCACACCACGGGAGUUGGAGACGCCCGAAGCCGAUUAUCUAACCUUUUGGAAGAAGUCGUCGAAGGUGGAAUCAAUAACUGGGGUGAAGUCGUAACAAGGUAGCCGUAUCGGAAGGUGCGGCUGGA